GACGAACGCUGGCGGCGUGCUUAACACAUGCAAGUCGAACGGAAAGGCCCUGCUUUUGUGGGGUGCUCGAGUGGCGAACGGGUGAGUAACACGUGAGUAACCUGCCCUUGACUUUGGGAUAACUUCAGGAAACUGGGGCUAAUACCGGAUAGGAGCUCCUGCUGCAUGGUGGGGGUUGGAAAGUUUCGGCUGUUGGGGCUGGACUCGCGGCUUAUCAGCUUGUUGGUGGGGUAGUGGCUUACCAAGGCUUUGACGGGUAGCCGGCCUGAGAGGGUGACCGGCCACAUUGGGACUGCGAUACGGCCCAGACUCCUACGGGAGGCAGCAGUGGGGAAUAUUGCACAAUGGGCGGAAGCCUGAUGAAGCAACGCCGCGUGCGGGAUGACGGCCUUCGGGUUGUAAACCGCUUUCGCCUGUGACGAAGCGUGAGUGACGGUAAUGGGUAAAGAAGCACCGGCUAACUACGUG
rnacentral:rRNA from 1 species